rnacentral:rRNA from 1 species
AUUGAACGCUGGCGGCAUGCCUUACACAUGCAAGUCGAACGGUAACGGGCCUUCGGGUGCCGACGAGUGGCGAACGGGUGAGUAAUGUAUCGGAACGUACCUUUCAGUGGGGGAUAACGUAGCGAAAGUUACGCUAAUACCGCAUAUUCUGUGAGCAGGAAAGCAGGGGAUCGCAAGACCUUGCGCUGAUUGAGCGGCCGAUAUCAGAUUAGCUAGUUGGUGGGGUAAAGGCCUACCAAGGCUACGAUCUGUAGCGGGUCUGAGAGGAUGAUCCGCCACACUGGAACUGAGACACGGUCCAGACUCCUACGGGAGGCAGCAGUGGGGAAUUUUGGACAAUGGGGGCAACCCUGAUCCAGCCAUGCCGCGUGAGUGAAGAAGGCCUUCGGGUUGUAAAGCUCUUUCGGACGGGAAGAAAUCGCAUCGGCUAAUACCUGGUGCGGAUGACGGUACCGUAAUAAGAAGCACCGGCUAACUACGUGCCAGCCGCCGCAGUAAGAC